AUUGAACGCUGGCGGCAGGCCUAACACAUGCAAGUCGAGCGAGCGGCGGACGGGUGAGUAAUGUCUGGGAAACUGCCUGAUUUAGGGGGAUAACUACUGGAAACGGUAGCUAAUACCGCAUACCAUCAGAUGUGCCCAGAUGGGAUUAGCUAGUAGGUGGGGUAAUGGCUCACCUAGGCUACGAUCCCUAGCUGGGCUGAGAGGAUGACCAGCCACACUGGAACUGAGACAAGGCCCAGACCCCUACGGGAGGCAGCAGUGGGGAAUAUUGCACAAGGGAAGCAAGCGUGGUACAGCCAUGCCGCGUGUAGGAAGAAGGGCUUCGUGUUUUAAAGUACUUCCAGCGGGAAGGCGGUACCCGAAGAAGAAGCACCGGCUAACUCCGUGCCAGCAGCCGCGGUAAUAC
rnacentral:rRNA from 1 species